CAGUAAGGAAUAUUGGUCAAUGGACGCAAGUCUGAACCAGCCAUGCCGCGUGAAGGAUGAAGGUCCUCUGGAUUGUAAACUUCUUUUACAGGGGGCGAAACAGCCGGUUUCCACCGGCCUUGACAGUACCCUGUGAAUAAGCACCGGCUAACUCCGUGCCAGCAGCCGCGGUAAUACGGAGGGUGCAAGCGUUAUCCGGAUUUACUGGGUUUAAAGGGAGCGUAGGCGGGCUUGUAAGUCCGGGGUGAAAUCUCUGAGCUUAACUCAGAAACUGCCCUGGAUACUAUAAGCCUUGAAUGUCGUUGAGGUUUGCGGAAUAUGUCAUGUAGCGGUGAAAUGCUUAGAUAUGACAUAGAACACCUAUUGCGAAGGCAGCAGGCUAAGCGAAGAUUGACGCUGAGGCUCGAAAGCGUGGGGAUCAAACAGGAUUAGA
rnacentral:rRNA from 1 species